UCUCCGUAGGUGAACCUGCGGAGGGAUCAUUACUGAGUGAGGGCUCACGCCCGACCUCCAACCCUUUGUGAACACAUCUUUUUGCUUCGGGGGCGACCCUGCCGGCACCCUGUCGCCGGGCGCCCCCGAAGGUCUCCAAACACUGCAUCUUUGCGUCGGAGUUUAAAAAAAAUCAAACAAAACUUUCAACAACGGAUCUGUUGGUUCUGGCAUCGAUGAAGAACGCAGC
rnacentral:misc_RNA from 1 species